GACGAACGCUGGUGGCGUGCCUAAUACAUGCAAGUCGAGCGGACCAAUAGAAGCUUGCUUCUGUUGGUUUGCGGCGGACGGGUGAGUAACACGUGGGCAACCUGCCUGUAAGACUGGGAUAACUUCGGGAAACCGGAGCUAAUACCGGAUAAUUCAUCCCCUCGCAUGAGGGGAUGCUGAAAGUCGGUUUACGCUGACACUUACAGAUGGGCCCGCGGCGCAUUAGCUAGUUGGUGAGGUGAUGGCUCACCAAGGCGACGAUGCGUAGCCGACCUGAGAGGGUGAUCGGCCACACUGGGACGGAGACACGGCCCAGACUCCUACGGGAGGCAGCAGUAGGGAAUCUUCCACAAUGGACGAAAGUCUGAUGGAGCAACGCCGCGUGAGCGAUGAAGGCCUUCGGGUCGUAAAGCUCUGUUGUUAGGGAAGAACAAGUAUCGGAGUAACUGCCGGUACCUUGACGGUACCUAACCAGAAAGCCACGGCUAACUACGUGCCAGCCGCCGCGGUAA
rnacentral:rRNA from 1 species